GCCUACGGGAGGCAGCAGUAGGGAAUCUUCCACAAUGGGCGAAAGCCUGAUGGAGCAACGCCGCGUGGGUGAAGAAGGUCUUCGGAUCGUAAAACCCUGUUGUUAGAGAAGAAAGUGCGUGAGAGUAACUGUUCACGUUUCGACGGUAUCUAACCAGAAAGCCACGGCUAACUACGUGCCAGCAGCCGCGGUAAUACGUAGGUGGCAAGCGUUAUCCGGGUUUAUUGGGCGUAAAGGGAACGCAGGCGGUCUUUUAAGUCUGAUGUGAAAGCCUUCUGCUUAACCGCAGUAGUGCAUUGGAAACU
rnacentral:rRNA from 1 species